CCUACGGGUGGCAGCAGUGGGGGAUAUUGCACAAUGGGGGGAACCCUGAUGCAGCGACGCCGCGGGUGGGAAGACGGUCCUCUGGAUUGUAAACCACUGUCCCCAGGGACGAAAAUGACGGUACCUGGGGAGGAAGCUCCGGCUAAAUACGUGCCAGCAGCCGCGGUAAUACGUAGGGAGCGAGCGGUGUCCGGAAUUACUGGGUGUAAAGGGAGCGUAGGCGGGGAUGCAAGUUGGGUGUCAAAACUACCGGCUCAACUGGUAGUCGCACUCAAAACUGCAGCUCUUGAGUGAAGUAGAGGCAGGCGGAAUUCCUAGUGUCGCGGUGAAAUGCGUAGAUAUUAGGAGGAACACCAGUGGCGAAGGCGGCCUGCUGGGCUUUUACUGACGCUGAGGCUCGAAAGUGUGGGGAGCAAACAGGAUUAGAUACCCCGGUAGUC
rnacentral:rRNA from 1 species